rnacentral:rRNA from 1 species
AGAUUGAACGCUGGCGGCAUGCCUUACACAUGCACGUCGAACGGCAGCACGGGAGCAAUCCUGGUGGCGAGUGGCGAACGGGUGAGUAAUAUAUCGGAACGUGCCCAGUCGUGGGGGAUAACGCAGCGAAAGCUGUGCUAAUACCGCAUACGAUCUAUGGAUGAAAGCGGGGGAUCGCAAGACCUCGCGCGAUUGGAGCGGCCGAUAUCAGAUUAGCUAGUUGGUGGGGUAAAAGCCUACCAAGGCGACGAUCUGUAGCUGGUCUGAGAGGACGACCAGCCACACUGGAACUGAGACACGGUCCAGACUCCUACGGGAGGCAGCAGUGGGAAUUUUGGACAAUGGGCGCAAGCCUGAUCCAGCAAUGCCGCGUGCAGGAUGAAGGCCUUCGGUUGUAAACUGCUUUUGACGGUAACGAAACGGUUCUCUCUAAUACGAGGGGCUAAGUGUACGGUACGUAAGAAUAAGCAACCGGCUAACGACGUACG